rnacentral:rRNA from 1 species
UAUUAAAGGUCUUGCCUGCCCAGUGAAACAUUUUUUAACGGCCGCGGUAUUCUAACCGUGCAAAGGUAGCGUAAUCACUUGUCUUCUAAAUAAAGACCAGUAUGAACGGCUAAAUGAGGAUAAUCCUGUCUCCUACAACCAAUCAGUGAAUCUGAUCUUCCCGUCCAAAAGCUGGAAUUUUAACACAAGACGAGAAGACCCCGUGGAGCUUAAGACUAUCACUAAUACACUACCCCAGAAAACUAACAAAAGUCUUAAGUUGGGGCGACUUCGGAACAAAACAAAACUCCCGAGCAAUGAACCACCCUUCUAACUAAGGCUAACAAGCCAAAGCACAAAAUGACCCAGUCAUACUGAUUAACGAACCAAGUUACCCCGGGGAUAACAGCGCCAUCUUCUUCAAGAGUCCCUAUCGACAAGAAGGUUUACGACCUCGAUGUUGGAUCAGGACACCCAAAUGGUGAAGCCGCUAUUAAAGGUUCG